ACACAUGCAAGUCGAGGGGCAGCGAGGGAGUGGCAACACUUCUGUCGGCGACCGGCGCACGGGUGAGUAACGCGUAUGCAACCUGCCCUUCACAGGGGGAUAACCGGGAGAAAUUCCGACUAAUACCGCAUACGUCCCCUGGGGGCAUCCCCUGGGGAUGAAAGAAUUAUCGGUGAAGGAUGGGCAUGCGUGAUAUUAGGUAGUUGGCGGGGCAACGGCCCACCAAGCCCACGAUAUCUAGGGGUUCUGAGAGGAAGGUCCCCCACAUUGGUACUGAGACACGGACCAAACUCCUACGGGAGGCAGCAGUGAGGAAUAUUGGUCAAUGGACGAGAGUCUGAACCAGCCAAGUCGCGUGAAGGAAGACGGAUCUAUGGUUUGUAAACUUCUUUAGUGCGGGAACAAAGCGGCGUCGUGACGCCUGAUGAGUGUACCGCAAGAAUAAGCAUCGGCUAACUCCGUGCCAGCAGCCGCGGUAAUACGGAGGAUGCGAGCGUUAUCCGGAUUUAUUGGGUUUAAAGGGAGCGCAGGCUGCGAGGCAAGUCAGCGGUCAAAUGUCGGGGCUCAACCCCGGCCUGCCGUUGAAACUGUCCUGCUAGAGUUCGAGUGAGGUAUGCGGAAUGCGUCGUGUAGCGGUGAAAUGCAUAGAUAUGACGCAGAACUCCGAUUGCGAAGGCAGCAUACCAACUCGCGACUGACGCUGAGGCUCGAAAGCGUGGGUAUCGAACAGGAUUAGAUACCCUGGUAGUCCACGCAGUAAACGAUGAAUACUAACUGUUCGGAGGGCGACCUCUGAGUGGUAAAGCGAAAGCGUUAAGUAUUCCACCUGGGGAGUACGCCGGC
rnacentral:rRNA from 1 species